AAUCACAAGAAUUGUCUCUGACACGAUUUGAUAAGGAAAAAAGGGAAAGAAAGCGCGUGAUAAGGGACCGAAGGAUGAAGAGGAAAGGAUCGGCGCGAGGAACCCCCCCUGUGGAUAUUCCAGUCUAACCAAACAAGUAUCGCCUCUGUCAGCCGGUAUCUUGGACCGUAGAUCAGAUCGCGAUCGAUAGUUACGCCAAUGGGGUGAAACGAGGCAGCGAGGAGAAAGAGAGAGAGAAAGAGAGGAGAGCGGCGGCCGAUGGCGCGGCAGGUACCUAGUUUGAUCCUGCACACAGAAGGCUAAGGAAGAGGAAGAGGGAAAAAUUAAAGAGCCGAUACGAGGUCGUUAGAGAUACAAUCUCCGGAAUUGCCGAUCAAAAAGCUUGAAAUCAGAUCCCACGGUUGUGAUUAUGGCAUCAUGAGCGGUAAUGGGAUCGUAUCAACCUGAAAUUUUAUUACUUUCAAUGUCUGCCGCGUCAGCAGUCCCACAUAUCCGAAUUUGCCAUUCAUUCCCAUCUCUUCUGCACAUUUUCAAAAUGCAUUCCCUCCCUCUCUGGAAUUCUAC